AUCUGAGAGAGAUCUCUUCAAUCAGAGAAGAGGACCCCACAAAUCCUCUGAUUUUUCCUCGAGCCUUCCUUUCUUCUUCUUCUUCUACGAAGAGGAGAUCAUCUCUUUCUCACUCCAUCUCUACAAAGCCAUGUCAAGUUCUGGUGCUCCUUCUCACAAGGCUCUGAGCAAGAUCGCGUGUAAAAGGCUUCAGAAAGAGCUUGUAGAGUGGCAGAUGAAUCCACCUACGGGGUUCAAACACAAGGUCACUGACAAUCUCCAAAGAUGGAUAAUCGAAGCUAUUGGAGCUCCAGGAACUCUGUACGCGAACGAGACCUAUCAGCUUCAAGUUGAUUUUCCCGAGCACUAUCCUAUGGAGUCGCCGCAAGUGAUUUUUCUUCCUCCGGCUCCUUUGCAUCCUCACAUUUACAGCAAUGGGCAUAUUUGCUUAGAUAUACUGUAUGAUUCGUGGUCUCCAGCGAUGACUGUGAGUUCUAUCUGCAUCAGCAUUCUCUCCAUGCUCUCUAGCUCCACUGAAAAGCAACGACCGACCGAUAAUGACCGAUAUGUGAAGAAUUGUAAGAACGGAAGAUCCCCAAAGGAGACUCGAUGGUGGUUCCACGAUGAUAAAGUAUAAACCAUCUAUCCAUCAAAACCAUAAAUGUAUAAUAAUCCAAAACAGUCAUGAGGUCAUAUAUAUACAUCAGGAAGAAUAUAAUCUCAACUACUACUUUUCCCCUCUGAUUUCGUCCUGUCACCAUGAAGCUGACGACGGUGGAGGAAACAAAGACAGAGAUGGGUUUUGAAAGAUUCUCUGACCGGUAGCGAG